CUUAUAAUUUAAAAUAAUAACUAAAAAUUGAGUUGCUAAAACUGGCCCCAUUCGAUACUUUGUAUAGUUUUUCAACAGCCGAUAGAAUCGCUAGAGCGGCACCUUCGACGGCCGUUCCAUCACUAGCGCCGUAAGAUAUUAGUUUGUUUUUUUUUUUGCAACAAACAUUUACAUUAGUUAUGCGUGCGUGGCCAAAAUGCUAAUCGUUUGGUUAGUGCUUGCCGCCACACUGAGCCGCUUUAUCCGAGCCAGCACCACGAUAUCGAUACCGAUCACAACCCAGGACAUAAUAGCGGGUGACGUGUUUUUUGAAAUCCUGUCGCCCUCGGACCUGGAAUACACGUACCGGCUGCGUCCGGCCAAGGACUUUGGAUCCGCCUUCUCGGAGCGGCUGGAGGGCGUACCGCUGGUGCUCACAGAUCCACCGGGCGCCUGCCAAGAGAUCCGGAACGCCCGGGAUCUUAAUGGGGGCGUCGCACUUAUCGAUCGAGGGGAGUGCUCCUUUGUCACCAAGACGCUACAGGCGGAGGCAGCGGGUGCCUUGGCCGCAAUCAUCACCGAGUACAAUCCCAGCUCGCCAGAGUUUGAGCACUACAUCGAGAUGAUACAUGACAACUCUCAACGGGACGCCAACAUACCGGCCGGCUUUCUGCUCGGGAAGAACGGAGUCAUUAUUCGGUCGACGCUGCAGCGACUGAAACGGGGGCACGCGCUUAUAAACAUACCCGUCAACCUCACCUUUAUCCCGCCCUCUAAGAUCAACCAUCCGCCGUGGCUGGGCUGGUGACGGGGCAGGAAUAGAGCCAGGAACAAGGACUUGUGUGGAAGAGACACAUACGAUCUAAAACCAAAGUGCAUACUCGUAGGCAGACUAAUCGAGACCGGAACUGAGACUAAUCUUUAGAGUACCAAUAAGUAGCAAAUUCGUAGACGGAAGCCAUAAACUGUAAAUAAAUUGCGUAGCAGCCGGCGAAUGCAUACAAGUACUUGGUUAAAUUUUGCCCAGGGCGUUGAGAUUCAGGCACAUGCCCAGCGUAAGGAUGACGAUGACCACCACAAGGAUGGCGAAACACAGGUAGUUCGGCUGGAUGGGCAUUCGGAAGAGUUUG